GUGACCCUAGCCACAGCCCCUCCAUCCCCGCACUCCUGGCCCUCCGCCUCCAUCUCUGAGCUCCCGGCACAACCCCCACCCCGCCAAGGCGUCAGGACUCCCACAGCCCCCUCCCUCCCUGAGCGUCACCCUAUGGGCGGGAGUGGGAGCCCCAGGACCAGGGGUUGGGGGCAUAGAGACAAGGAUGUGGGGGCGGGAUUCCAGGGAGACUACUGGGCUCUGACGCCCCCUCCCCCAACAGGCUGGCCCCAGGACCUUUCCCAGGCCCUGGAGGGCAAAGCCUCAUGCCUUAGAUCCCCUCCCUAGGCCUGGGCAGGGGCAUCCCCUAGGCGCUGGGCUCAAAAGGCUCUUUGUGAGCUGUGCCCCCCACUCCCCAAGCCUCCAGCGGGGUCCUGGAAAAGGGCGGGUGCAGAGGCUGGGACUGUGGCUGCUUGUCUGGACCAGGCCGAGGGGCGUGGGGAGAGCACCCCUAGUCCUUUCAUUGGGUUUGGGGCAGGGGGUGGGGGGCGCGUCCAGGCUCAUGUGCUUUUCACUGCACUGCCCAGGGUGGGGAAGGGAAGCUGGCUGGAGGAGGGCUCUAUCAAUAUCUGCAAAUAGUGGGUUCUGGAAGCUGGGUUGGGGAGGGUAGCUUGGAUGUAAGUCAGAAUGGUGGCACCUGAGCUGGAGUGCCAUGAGAAGCAGAGGUGGGUCUCAGCCAGCCCUAGUAGCUGGAGGUCAGGUGACUCUCCUGGCUCUGGAAGACUCCCUAGAAGGCCUGUGGGCAGGAAUACUACCCCAGAGAGACCCCUCCAUGGCCCCCCAGAACUGGCACUGCCCCAUUCCCAUAGCAUUCCUUGCCACUCCUGGGACACCAGUCAUGACCUGCCUUGAUGGGGAGCUGUGGAUACUGGCGGGUCACCUCCCCGGGCAGGGCAGGUACUGAAGAUCCAGGCCUCCGGGUGCUGAGGAGAUAGGCACAGGGUCUUGGGAAAGUUUGGAAGAGUUUCUGCCAGUCCAGGGAGGAGAGAGAAGUUGCUGGAAGAGUUGGCUUGCUCAGCACUAAAGGGAAGAGCACUCUAGGUAGAGGGAAUGGCUGGAGCAGAGGCUGUGAGAUGUGAGCACCUGGUCGGGGUGGAGAGUUGUGGAGGGGGGGGGGCUGGUCAGGCACGGGAGUGACCCAUGUGAACGAAGGGAAGGAGGGCCAGGUGGAGGUGAGGUGUCAGGCCAUCCCAGCGAGCUGGCACAAGCAAGCUCCCAAGGACAGCGAGGAGCUGAUAGGGGGGCAGUGCUGCCAUCUGGCUCGGCAGCCCCUCUGGAGUCUGCCCAGGGUUCCUGCUGUGGUCAGGGCUGUUUGACCCACAUCUGCCGGUGGCUGGACCACCCCACGCAAGUCUGCUUUCUGAGUCUCAGUGUCCACAUCUGUCAAACGGGGAGACUCCUCCACAGGGUUGUGGGGAGAUCUGCAUGAGGUGAUGAGUGUAGGGAGCCCAGCACCUGAGGCCUCGGAAAAUCCUUGGCCGCUGUGCCAGUAUGUUUACCUGGAAAACGGGGGCAUUGAUGUCAGCUGGUGGGCCAGGCUAACUUUACCCUGUGGCCAUGAGGAUCCUGUGAGGGCUGGAUGUGACCCAGGGAAGCCAGGGCUGGGGGCACUGCAAGUCCGUGUGCUCAUGCUAUUCUGGAAGAAGAGAGAAGCAGUGGGCCGUGGCCGGGGCGGGGUGGUCCUCCUUGUGCCCCUAUGGGCACCUUAGCCAUGGCAUUCAACGGACCCUGCUGUGUUCCUCAAGGCCAAAGCCUCUUUGUUCUCCUUGCUGCACAAUGCACCCCUUCCUCCUAGUCAGCCCUAGCCCUGCACAUGGGGGACCAGGGCUCCCUUCCAGAAGGUUCUUCAGACACUGAGACCAACAAACACAAUAUCUUCCUGUGAGGGGCACUGUCAUGGGCAGCCGGGUGGAGAGGACACAGACCUUAGCCCCAGGAGAAUGGAAUCUAGUUGGGCAGCAAAACCAGUUGGGCCUCCAUGGUCUUGCGUAGCACUGUGCUGGCUGCUUAGGGGUGUGUGGGGGGGGAGGGCCGGGGUUGGGGGUGUGGCGGGCUGGGCGUUGCAAUAAUUGCACCUUGGGACAGUCAAGGGCAGAAGUUAAAAGCAAGGACUCCAGAUUCAGUGGCCCAGGUUCAAAUCUCAACUCUGCCACUUCUUGUGUGAACGUGGACUGGUGACUCUGCCUCUCUGUGCCUCUGUUUCCUUGCCUCUAAAAUGGGAACGAGGCACACUAGUGCUAUUUGAACAGCUUGGUUCAGUUUCUAGUGGGCAUUUAUGCCCCCUUUUCCAGAAUGGGUCUCCCAGUUCACCCCUGCGUCCUGGAAGACUACACAGCCUGCUCCAGUAGGCUAUUGUCUUCCUCUUGUGUGUGAGUCCCUAUAGGCGGGGGCCUGCCUUUCUGUGUCCGUUGCUUGGGCAGGGGGCAAUGGUGUGCUGGCAACAGGCCCUCUGGGAGAAAAAGGUACCUGAUAAACAGCGUUGGCAGGUUUCCACGGUGUAAAUCUUCCAGCAAGGCCCAUUUGAGGCUACCAACAGCUUAACCUUCUCGCAGUGGGAGCUGGUCCAUGCCAGUUUUAGCACCCAGGCAUUCAGUAGGUGCCUUAUAAAGGAUGGUUGAAUAAGGAGAGAAGGCUCCAGAGACUUGGAGAGCUGUCAGGCCAUACUGUAGCUGAGAGAGGGAGGCAUCCGACAGGCUGAGGCCAGGACAAGAGACCACUCUGAAGAAGUAACCCGUGGUGAGAUGGAGGGCAGAGGGGAAGGAGGACUGGUGCCCUCCUUCCUGGGAACCUCUGCACUUCUGACCCUGCGUCACUGCUGCUCUGGAUCCUCUUGACCUUGGCCUGGUUUGGGCUGUCUGCACAGAAUGACCUAACUGGAUCCCAAGCAGUAACCUGACAGAGCUCUGAGAAAUGGUCCAGACGGGUCUCAAACGUCAGAUUCUAUUCCCUUGCUUAUGCUGUUCCCUCUGCCUGAAUGUCUGUUCCACCCACUUCUUCCUAUGUGCCCUGAAACCCUGUCACCCUUCAAAAGCCUCCUCCACCCCAAAUCCCACAGACCCUCCUCCCCUUCUGCUGUUUCUCUGGCCUUGCAGCCCCUCUCGUGUGCACCCUGCCUGCCCAUAAAAAUAUUAGUAGCUAACAUUGCAUCUGGACAGCAACCUGUGAUAGAGAUACCGUGAUAAUCCCUUUUGCAGAUGGGGGAAUGGAGGCUCUGUCUUGUUAAGGACCACCCAUCCUUUGCCUCUCGGCUUCAGCAUCCGUUCGUUGUUCAGAGAGGCUCCUUGCUGUGGGCUGGGCAGAGCACCACUUCUCUUUCUUCAGUGUGUUUGCUGUGGCGUGUUCCACUAGGCCGUGAGUUCCCUAUCCUAUAGGAGCUUGAAUGAAUGAAUGAAUGAAUGAAUGAGUGAAUGACUUCUAGCCCCAGGGAGCAUCCCUGUUCUUUUACCCAUUCCUCCUCCCUUUCCAUCCCUGUGGGAGGAGACUGACCCUCCAGAGGGCAGCCUCACACCAUGGAGGGAUGGUCACAGGGACCCUGCUUAGCCACACCUGCCAGAAGGGAAAGGGAAGUGAGGCUUUGGGCGGGGCUGAAAGCAGGCAUGGUAGAAGGGUAGUGGACCACCCUCCUGUGGUCUAGAGUGGGGCUGACAUGGGCCCACAGCACUGCCUGUAACCCAGGAAGUUAACGGGGUCCCAAAAUACGUUUUCUUGCACCGCCCCAAGUGGAAAGUCCCCUGUUGGCCCACUUAUUUUCGUUUUAUCUAGAAUAAUAAAGUUGGAAAUAAUCAUUCACACACGCUAAUUACUCCGUUGCUUUAUGAAUUUAGAGCCUGUUUGGCUCUAGACUUUGGCUCCUGCUGAAGGAGGAAUCCCCUGGGAGGGGCAGGGUGAGGUGCCAAGGCAGGAGGCCAGAGCCUGCUCUGACGCUGGGGCCUCCUGGGGGUCUGACCUCCAGUUGCCCUCUCCUGGCAGGCUGGGAACUUCCCAGAAGCAGCUGCCCAGAUGGGGGUCUAAGCAAGGGAGGGUGGCCAGAGGCAGUCUCCAGGAUUCUGAUUGACCGGGGCCCAUAAUGGAUGACUUCCCAGGCUGUUCUACCCCACCUUGACCUCUGAGUCAUAAUUUGCUGCUAUUUAUCGAGCACUUACUAUGUGCUGGGCGCUGGGCCAAGCACUUUGUCGGCAUCAUCUCAGCUACGCCUGCUAACGUCCCUUGAAGCAGGUACUAUUAUUCUCCCCAUUUGGCAGUUUGAGGGUGCCUGGGGCCCUGGGCUCAGGGCCGGGAAGUGGCGGGGCUGGGAUUGUAUCCAGCCUGUAGGACCCCCAUAGCCCGAUGGGGCCCCUUGGAUAGGCCCCUCAGUCACUCAAAAUGGAACGGUCUCUGAAGCCUGGACGCCCGAGACAACCACGUCACUGUUGUCCUGGCCUCCAGGCCACCCUCCUUGUGGCCCUGAUUGCCACUCCUUUCUUCCCCAUAGUCCUGGGGCUCUGUCUCUGGAAGCCCCGUGUAGCCUCACCUGGGCGGCUUGGGGAAAAUACAGACUUCCCAGGCCCUGCCACACCCCGCUGAGUCAGAAUCCCACUAUGGGAGAGGGGGCUGGAAACCCAGAUUUUAAAAUGUUGUCCUGGGGAUACAGAGGCUUGCAGACUCCCAGAACCGCUGCCCGGCCCAGUGGAGUUCAGGCUGCUUUAAGAGACUCCCUUGUCCUUAACCCAGAUCCCUAUGACCCUGCCCCUGCUUGUGUUCUCAGGCUCUGCCCCCUGCUACCCUAACCCAGCUCUGCACACAUCACACCAUACUCACCCCCCACACCCCAAUUUGCCUUUAUCCAGGCACCUGAUGCUGCUGUUUCCUUCUGGAAACAGGUCCCACCUGGCCACAGACCCCCACAGAGCUUGUGUAAUACUCUGGACCGGUCGAUCGUGGCCCCACUCUUGCUAACCCGGGCCUGGCACACAGCCUGGGGGAAUCAUGGUGGGUGAGCGAUGGUGGCCGGGGAAGGCGGAACAAGGGAGGGCUGCCCAUGACAGGUGGGGCUUCUAGGCUGGGCACACAGGCGCUCUCUGGGGGCUGGCACCUUGCCUAACAUGCAAAAGGCAUUUGAUGACUGUUUCUUAACUGCUUAAUGAAUGGUGAUGGGUCGUGUGACAGGUGAGGGCCACUUCCGGAAGCAGUACAGAUUGGCCGGUUUAGGCAAAAGAUGGAGAAGGUGCCUUCCAGGCCAUCUCUGAGGACCGUGAAUAUUAAUGGUCCAAACUCAUUUAUGGCUCCGAUGGGAGUGAGGGGCUGGUGCUUUCUUGCUUGAUUUCAUUUCGGUAUCUCAGGAGCCCUGGGAGGGGGUGCUGAUGUAAUCCUAAUUUCGUUCAAUGGAAACUGAGCCCUAGACAGGUGACUUAGUAGGGUCACACAGCUGGGAGGGGUCCUACAGAACGGAGCCUUGCCCAUUGUGCGAAAAAAUAAAUAAAUAAAUGAGUCUGCACUCUACAGUUUCUGAAGCAGUAACACAUUAUCUCAGUUGGUUCUAGCUGUGGCUUGGAGGUGUGGCUCUACAUUUUCACCUAUGCCCACAUCCCAGGGUCAGAAAACCUGCAUCCAGGGGCCUUCUGUGUCUGUAAGGGGCGGUGGUGGGAAGAGAUCCUGCCUCCGGGCUGGCAGGAGAGAGAAACAAAGAGGCAGUGUUGGGGGCUCUGGCACAUAGUAGGUGUUUGGGAACCCCUGUGGCAGUUCAGGCAGAGCCAGCUCUGGUCCCAUCUGGACCUUGGAACAGCCGAGAUCAGUCUCCAGUCUUUGAGCCAAGGCCCACAGGGUGUGGGUGAUGGGUCCAAGGUUAUACCUGCCAUUAGGACUAGAGCAGAGGGUGUGAGACUCCUCCACCACGGCGGAGAGGUCCAGGGAAUGGGGCAGGGGCAUUCUGUCUGUGCGGGAUGACCACUGUCAGAGCCAUUAAGCCACAGAGCCUGGCCCCAAAGGGCCCCCAGGCAAACCCCCUCUCAGGGGUGUCCAGGACUGCUGUGGGGCCUGGCGUGUUAUUGCUGUCAUGGAAGUUCGAGGCCAUACCUGAGUAGGGGCAGUGGUCCUGCAGCCACCAGUGGGGGAUGUAACAGACUCUGUGGUCUGCCUCCAGGCACUGGCAUGUGGGGAGGGCAAAACGCACCAGCACCCCACCCAGACUACAAUCCAGGUGCUGGCUUCCCCCACACACACCUCCCCCACCCUCGCCCCACCCCGCCGCUGGGCCUUUGCAGAUGCUGUCCCUCUGUCUGCAGUGGCCUUCCCCUCCUCUCCUGGCAGGUGCUGGCUCAUCCUUUAAGACACCUCCAGGAAGCCCUACCUGACUCCCACCCCAAGGGCCAGGCUGACCCACCCUGCCAGGAUUUCCAUCUGGCUGCUCCACAAGAUGCAGAGAACCUUGAGGGCCUGGUCUGAGAUGCCAGUGGAGUGAACAGGGAAAGCAGCUGUAAGGUGCAGCCCAGUUCAGGCGACUGUCCCUGCAGCCCAGAGAAGAGACCAGGCUGGGGAGCCUUGAGGCCAGAUAGCUAGCCAAACAUGCCCAUUUCACAGAGGGAAUGUUGAAGGCCCGAGGUGCUUGGGACUGAUCCAGAGCACCCUGGGGAGUGGUUGGUAGUCCCUUUGUGGCUUGUAAGAGGAGAGCCCAGGGCUAUGUGGCCAUACCCCUCCCCCACUCUGGUCCCCAGCUGGAGCAUUUGUCUGCAGGAUCCAGGUCAGGUCUGAGGGGGAUGGGAAGUAGCCCAGGAGAGCAAAGUCCCCAGGGCUCAGGUCUGCACUCGGUCUUCCCAUGUGGAGAACAAAGCUCCUUAGAGAAAAUGCUUGCUGUCCAAAAGCUGGCAGGAAAUCCACAUCGAUAGCUCAUUCCAGCAAGAAGGUGCACGGGAAAAAAAGCGUGUGAGAACUUAGGCCAAAUGUUAGCCCCAGGGAUGGUGGGUGAUAUUACCCUUCUUUCGCCGUGAUUUUCACAUUUCCUAGGUUGUAGGUGAAACCUUUAUAACCAGAAAAAUGAAGUUACCAUGUAAAGGAGAGAGGUCUAAGAAAAGGUGCCCUGAGAACAGCCAGCUCCCCAUUCAUGAGACUCUGGGGUCACCAAGUGCCAGUGGCUUCCAGAGGGACCCUGCCCCCGGGCCCAUCCCCCAGAACAGGCGGGCCUGCAGACGGCUUAGCCUGUGUGUCUCUCUUUCUCGGAAUUUGGGUCAGAGAGAGUCCAGACCUGGGGCUACUGGGAUGUAGCACGCCCAGAAUUCCAUUCAAACCUCUGCUGUCCUUCCUGUCCUGUGGGUUAGGCCUCAGGGCCCUCGCCUUCCCACCUCCACCUGGAAAGCCACCCCACCCCACCCCACCCCACCCCAAGCUGCCCUCUGCCCCUCCCAGCCAGAGGUGGCCCUAGGGCUAUUUGCUUCACCUCCAUCCCGGGUGCCCAGGUGGGUGCGUAGCACUGUUGACUGCCUUCCUUACUGACUCCGGCCCCGAAGUGCCUUUCCAGGGGGUCUUCCUACAAUGUAGUCAGGUUCGACCUCGUGGAAAUGGUCUUUGGAAUCACAGCUGAGCCUUGAUCCUGGGUGAGGAUUCGAUCUCCAUCUCCCCCAUAUACCUAGUACAGAGCACCCAUUCAUUCGAUCAGCUGUUAUUCAGCCAAGUGCCAGGGCCCAGGCUAGGUGCCAGGGGCACAGAUCUGCUGACUUGAGGGUGUGACGUGUCUGUGUUUUUGAGCACGUGUUUUGUGCACAUCACCUGUACGCACACACAGCGUGAGCAUCUCUGUCAUACGUGAACUCAGGUCUUUGAGGCUGUGACAGUGUGUAAUCCUGCCGGGACUCCGGGCACACCUGGUUAAUUCAUUCUGCAAGUGUUGAACAGACACCCACUAAGGAAGUACCAGGCUCUGACCCCAAAGAAAAAUGACCCAAGGUCUCUGUCCUCGGGAAGUGCCGUCUUGGGGGCUGUCGCCAUGCGGACUGGUGGGGGCAGAAGCCAGCAGGGCUGGGGGUGGUCAGAAACGUGGUCCUGGAGACACAGGGAAGAGUGGGGAAGAGUGUUCCUGCCCAGCUGUGAGUAUGAUCUCCAGUAUCCCCUUCAGCCCAGUGACCUGGGGCCUGGGACAGGCCUCCCCAGCUAUUUUCAUGGCCUAAAGCAGCCCUGAGGGCCGACGGAACUGGAGCUUCAGGUGGUGACCUGUGGGCCCCGACUGCUGGGGGCUGGGAGAGAAUACAGGGAAUGAAAAUGAAGCAUGUGGGCUGGAGAACCUGCCUGGGCUGCAGACCUUUCUGAGAGGCGAACUUGGGGACCAGGCACCAGAACACAGCACCUGGAAAGUAGAACCCCGUGAUCCAGACCAGAGAAGCGGGAUCACGGAACUCAGAGGAGGAAGAUGGAGCAGCAGACCUAGAAUGUGGGCCUUCUAGAACCUGGAACACUCAAGUCAGCCAGAAGCUGGAAGAUCCAGUCUGUGCCCCCAAUGGUCAGUGGGGGAAACUGAGGUCCUGCAGGAACGGGGAGGUCUUGAGCAUUGGUGAGCUGCAGUGGCACGCACGUGGUCUCUGCUGAGCCAGGACCUCUCCACAGCUCGCUGCUGCCUGACCUGGGGCUAGUCCUGUCCCCUCUCCAAACCUCAGUUUCCCCCUCUGUGAAAUGGUCACGUGAUGGUGAGACCAGAUGGAGCACUUCACCUGGUGCUCAGGCUCUCCCGGCAAGCUUAGUGGCAUUGCUAAGGCCUGGACCCUGGCCACUUGACUCCUGAAUGACUCUGUCCCCUUGUGGUGAUGGUCUGGUCCCUGCUGUUCCUUUCUCUUCUUGCUCACACUCAGUGGGACAUUUGGGCACUUGCGGCCCUUUUCCGGAAUGCUCUCGGGAUCUAGCAGAGGGAAAAGACGAGUCAGAGGAGCAAGAACAGACUGGCGGCUCCAUAUGAAGGAGCAGGCCCUGGUGCCUACAGCCCUGCAUGGUGCCCUGUGCCAUUUGGUCAUGAUAUCGAAGUUCAUGAGUUUGAGCUCUGCGUCAGGCUCUGUGCUGACAGCUCAGAGCCUGGAGCCUGCUUCACAUUCCGUGUUUCCCUCUCUCUCUGCCCCUCCCCUGCUCACGCUCGGUCUCUCUCUCUCUC